rnacentral:rRNA from 1 species
AGMCRCGGUAAUUYCAGCUCCAAUAGCGUAUAUUAAAGUUGUUGCAGUUAAAAAGCUCGUAGUUGAAUUUCGGGAUUGACACAUCGGUCGUGCCUUAAGGGGUAUGAACUGGUGUAGUCAAUUUCUCACCUCCUGGAGAACCGCGAUGCCCUUAACUGGGUGUCACGGGGAACCAGGACCUUUACUUUGAAAAAAUUAGAGUGUUUAAAGCAGGCAUUUUGCUUGAACACAUUAGCGUGGAAUAAUAAAAUAGGACGGCAUGAUUCUAUUUUGUUGGUUUCUAGGAUCACCGUAAUGAUUAAUAGGGAUAGUUGGGGGCAUUAGUAUUCAAUUGUCAGAGGUGAAAUUCUUGGAUUUAUUGAAGACUAACUACUGCGAAAGCAUUCGCCAAGGAUGUUUUCAUUAAUCAAGAACGAAAGUUAGGGGAUCGAAGACGAUCAGAUACCGUCGUAGUCUUAACCAUAAACUAUGCCGACUAGGAAUCAGACGAUGUUARUWKKYYRAUGACUCGUUCGGCGCCUUACGGGAAACAAACAAACU